rnacentral:lncRNA from 1 species
GGCUCAAGGCCACUUGCCCCAGGAAGAUAGCAGAAACAGGAAGAAAGCUGGCCGAGAGACACAUACCCGCUGAAGAUCGAAAAGGAAGCUGUCAAGGUACUACGUAGCAGUCACUUCAGACUCGGACACUUCCUGUUUACAGAGGACUAUAAAACCCCUGCCCCGUCCUCACUUGACGCUGACGCCAUUUUAGGCCUCAGCCCAUCUGCACCCAGGCGCUCGUUAAAACAGCCUGUAGCUCCACACCGCCUCCUGUUGUCUGUUGGCACGUUCUCGGGGUUCCAACCGAUACAAGAGCCUUGCAAAAGGUUGGGAUCAUGGUGCCAGAGGCAGGACCAAAAUGAGAUCCCCUCAGACAAAUUGGCAACCCCUGGAAUGGAGUGUGGUAUCAACUGAGCCCACUGUGUAUCUCCUCUUGGAUUCUAGGACUCUUACUUUGUCUCACGAUGAUGGGAGACAGUGAUACGUCAUCAGGCAUGAUCUUCUCUCAAGAAGCCUGCAACCUGGAAUCUUCUCACAAGGAGUGUGCAACCUAGAUUCUUCUCACAAGGAGAGUGCAAGCUAAAUUCUUCGCAUGUGCAGUUCACGAUAGGUUUCAUGCUCCCAUGAGAAUCUAAUGCUGAUGCUAAUCUGACUGGAGGCAGAGCUCAGGGAAGGAUGAGAGUGAAGGGGAGUGGCUGUCUCACGCCACUUGAUUACUACCCUGAUUUCUCUAUCCAUAGCUACCAACCCUACUUUAAUAUGUGCAACUUUCUGAAAAUAAAAUUUUAAACAGGGGACUGAAGGAAACGAGACUAUUUCACUCAGAAAUUUGGUUAAAGAAAUAGUUGCAAGGUCUCUCUGGCCUCUCCCCUACCCUGCUGUUAUCUCUGAAUCACCUGUCUCUCUCGAGCACAGGAUUAAUCUGUUCUCUCAAGUUCCCUUACUUUCCUAGAAACCAGAUAUGCUAAAGAGAAACAGAGUUGCCUUCUCUGAAAUUUCAUUAACCAGAAAAGAUGAAAACUCAUAUUCCAGAGGAGGAGAUUGAAAACUAAACCCUACACCUAGAGCCCAGACUUUGUUCCAAAUCAAACUCUCUGUUCAAUUUAAUUUCCAAAGAAAUUAUUUAUUAACCAUUGUCUGAGCAUUAAAUCUAUUCAUUUUCCCCAUAAAAAGCAUUUACUAUCCCUCAGACGGCCCCAUUUCUCCUAACUCUUCUUCCCCUAUGAAGAAGGCGUUAUACACAUCUGUACCACAUUGAGUUACUGGGUAAUCAUUUUUCUGUAAUUUCCUUAUGCUAUGCACAUUAAAAUUAAUUUGUAUGCAUUUUCCUAUUAAUUUGCUUUUUGUCUAUUCAGUUUCAGUGAAC